rnacentral:rRNA from 1 species
GUUACUAAGAAUAUGGGAGGUAGAAUUUUUAUUAGCUGGAUAAGGGUUUAUAGUUGUGGUGGGGGCUAUUUUAAAAAAAGGAUUAGAGACCCUUGUAUUGAGUUGGGUUAGUUUGUGACUCUCUAGUGUAAACUAAAAAGGCUUGGCAGCCGAUGAGGUUCGUCCGGGGGAGUGUGUGCUUUAAGAGAUGAUCCGCUUAUGAAUUCACCUAAUUAAUGGUUGGUUAGUGUAUAUCCGGUUUAAUACUUGUGGUUAGUGCUGCUGAGUGUAGAUAACGGAUUGAAGCCAGG